rnacentral:rRNA from 1 species
AUACCGGGCCUUUUUGGGCUUGGUAAUUGGAAUGAGGGAGAGUUAAACGGACCAUCGAGUAUCCAUUGGAGGGCAAGUCUGGUGCCAGCAGCUGCGGUAAUACCAGCUCCAAUAGCGUAUAUUAAAGUUGUUGCAGUUAAAAAGCUCGUAGUUGGACUUGUGUGCGCUGUCCGCGGGUGGCCUGCGCCCAAAAGGGCGUUUCGGUUCGGCCCCGGUGGCGCCUUGAAAUCUGCAGCUGGGGGGACGUUGGCCUUAACUGGUCGGCGACCGCACGCCGGCUGCUCGGUUACUGUGAGAAAAUUAGAGUGUUCAAGGCAGGCAUUGGGUGCAAUUGAAUACAUUAGCAUGGAAUAAUAAAAUAUGGCUCCUGCCGUAUUUUGUUGGUUUUGACUGGUGGGAGUAAUGAUUGAUAGGGACGGUUGGGGGUGCUAGUAUUGAGCGGCCAGAGGUGAAAUUCAUGGAUUCGCUCAAGACUAACUUAUGCGAAAGCAUUCACCAAGGACGUCCUCUUUAAUCAAGAACGAAAGUUGGGGGAUCGAAGACGAUCAGAUACCGUCGUAGUCUCAACCAUAAACUAUGUCGACUUGGGAUCGGCGGUAGUUUUUUCAUUAAGACACUGUCGGGACCACGGGAGAAAUCAAAGUGUCUGGACUCUGGGGGAAGUAUGGUCGCAAGGCUGAAACUUGAAGGAAUUGACGGAAGGGCACCACCAUGAGUGGAGCCUGCGGCUUAAUUUGACUCAACACGGGGAAACUUACCAGGUCCAGAGAUGUAGAGGAUUGACAGAUUGAAGCUCUUUCUUGAUCACUUCGGUGGUGGUGCAUGGCCGUUCUUAGUUGGUGGAGUGAUUUGUCUGGUUAAUUCCGUUAACGAACGAGACCUCAGCCUGCUAGUGUAGUCGGCUGGAUUGCCUUUGGCGAUCCGUGAUUUCGACUUCUUAGAGGGACAAUCGACGCGCAGUCGAUGGAAGUUUGAGGCAAUAACAGGUCUGUGAUGCCCUUAGAUGUUCUGGGCCGCACGCGCGCUACACUGCUGGGCUCAGCGAGUUUUACUUGGCCGAGAGGCCCGGUUAAUCUUGUGAAAUCCCAGCGUGCUUGGGCUCGCCUCCUGCAACUGGAGGCGCCAACGAGGAAUUCCUAGUAGACGCAGGUCAUCAACCUGCAUCGAUUACGUCCCUGCCCUUUGUACACACCGCCCGUCGUUCCAUAAGAGUGAGGCAUCCGGUGAAUUCUCGGGAGAGCCUGGGCGUGGCCAGCAAUGGUCUGCUCGGGUUUGAACUUGCAUAAACUUGGUGCCUAUGAUUAGGG